CAGCCGCCACGGUAAUACGUAGGUGGCAAGCGUUGUCCGGAAUUAUUGGGCGUAAAGGGCUCGCAGGCGGUUUCUUAAGUCUGAUGUGAAAGCCCCCGGCCCAACCGGGGAGGGUCAUUGGAAACUGGGGAGCUUGAGUGCAGAAGAGGAGAGUGGAAUUCCACGUGUAGCGGUGAAAUGCGUAGAGAUGUGGAGGAACACCAGUGGCGAAGGCGACUCUCUGGUCUGUAACUGACGCUGAGGAGCGAAAGCGUGGGGAGCGAACAGGAUUAGAUACCCCGGUAGUCCCUGUCUCUUAUAA
rnacentral:rRNA from 1 species